CUGCAGCUCAGGUAUUUAUGUGGAUCAUCCCUGUGGCUUUUCCAUUGCUCUGGGGUCCUGUGAUGUCCCACCUGGCAGGAGCUGGUUUAUCUUGGAUGUCCAUGAAAUGAAAGGUGAAGUGGCUCCUCAGAGAGUGAUAAACACUGGGGAGGACCAGAAAACAGCACUGAUGAGACACCCUGAGCAGAGAAAAGUGGCUGCAGACGUGUACAAGAAGGGAAUCAAGGCCAGUCACAGCAGGAGUCCAUGGACCAAACUUUGUUCUCCGAUACAGUCAUCCAGACUUGGUGACCUUCAGACAUACCUGUUGUUUCCAAAUGGAGAGGAUGAACUCUGCCACUGGGAUUUUGGAGUAAGCAGUGGUGUUUCCAGACCUCCCAAGUCUCCUUGGCAUCAAGGCUGUUGGCUAUGUGAACUGGAUCACGGGACAGGACUCUCUGCCUCUGAAGGCAACACCCUGUCUCUUCGUUGCUGUCAGACAGCAUGCCUCAGCCCCAGCAGAAGACAGUAGAAAAGAUGAAUGGGCCACAAGCUCAGCUUUUGUGACCAGACAGGUCUGUGCUCACAAAUAUUGUGAAGUGGCUUGGGAAUCUUAGUCCUGCUGCCUUGUACUACACAGUUGCACUCCAUUUGCAUUCCUCCUACAUUUCCAGCAGACAUUUUCUUCUGCUGAAGUUCCCAACACCUCUUCAUCUGCACUCAUAUGUACAUGCACAGAGCAAAGCCUAGCAGGUCAGGCAGAAAUGCCAGAGGGGUGCUUGGCGAGGUGAGUUUGGUCUUUGGGAAGCCAAUGCUUAAUCCUAAUGACCCCAGAAAUUUUCAUGCUUUGCACUGCUAUAGCAACUGCUCCCAUGCUGACUAGUAAACCAUGGCCAGGCACCAUGGUGCACAGCAAAAAUUCUUUUCCUUCUAAAAGCCAGAGCCUGAUUUACUGCACAAGUCUGCGGAGCAAUCUGGCUGCACUGCCAUGCCUGGUGAAUGGAUUUGGACUGCGACGCCAGGAAGCCAUUCUCCCUGGUGGUUGUUUCCAAGGGCAAAGCGAACGUGCACAAGAUACGGAUACAUUCUGGCCUGUUGCAUAAAUUUGCCUUGACGUCUCAUACUGUUGUCCUCUGUCAAAGCCGGGAAGCUUGGCAAUAGCAGGAGCUUUGCCUCGGCAGAGACGCUGGGAUGGAAACAAACUGCACACGGCCCAGUUAGCCCAGCAGAUAACUUGUGGGGAAGAUUUCAGAGCUGUUUGAAAGUGCGGCCAGAUGAAGGUCUGCUCAGCUGCUGAGAUGCCAUCACGCUGGCAGCCCUCAUUUUAAUUAUUUUAAAGGACAAGAUUUUUUAAAAAAUCCUGUGGAUCAAGGCCUCAUAAAGCUUCCCUCUGUGAGUACAGGAAUGUUGCAGUUCGGACUUUUGUUGCUGGCUUGCUUUUUUUUCCGCAACAUCUGCCUGUUCUAGGGUUGGCAUCAACUCAAAUGCUGUUCACUGAAUUCAACUUCUAGCUGGAAGCAAGUGCAUUCAUUUAUCCCCUUUCCCAGCUGUAACCAGAUGUGUGCUGUUCUCCUAUAGCUGUGUUACUGUUUUUUGUAUCAUUGCUCUUCUGUCUCCUACUGCUUGUCUCUUGCAGUACCCCUGGCCUGAAGCCAUGCUGGAUGGCAACCCACAGAAAAGCAUCAGGGACGCGUUGCACACACAUUAUGGGGGCUUGGUCAUUGGUGCUGGUGGGUUCAUCUGAGAGCAAAGCAGAUUUCUGCAGGCACUGGGUUGUGUGUGAGAUGAAAGCUGAAUCAGGGCUAGCGUUGCCUCUUUCCUUGUGACAAAUCCAAUCCAUUGAAUAUUUAUUUUACAGGCAAUAAAGAGGUUGUGAAUUAGGGGAAA